rnacentral:rRNA from 1 species
UACGUAGGGGCCUAGCGUUGUCCGGAAUUAUUGGGCGUAAAGAGCUCGUAGGCGGUUCGGCAAGUCGGAUGUGAAAUCUCCACGCUUAACGUGGAGGGGCCAUUCGAAACUGCUGUGACUCGAGUCCGGUAGGGGAGUGUGGAAUUCCCGGUGUAGCGGUGAAAUGCGCAGAUAUCAGGAGGAACACCGGUGGCGAAGGCGGGUCUCUGGGCCGAUAUUGACGCUGAGGAGCGAAAGCGUGGGGAGCGAACAGG